UGGCUCCACCAAUCAAACGCGCGGAAAUCUCGGCCGGCCUCACGAUCUCCACCAAAGGAAAGCGAAAGGAGGGACGCGAACGGAAGUUGGGGGAUCUGCUGCUUAGUGACGCGCGGCGUCCCGGAAGUGGCCCCGGUCCACGUGGGCGAGGGCAUGGAGGCGGGGCUUGGGUGGGGCGGGGCCUGAGGCUCGCUCCGCUGAACUCCGGCCGCCCCGAGGCAACUUGACCCCGGAAGCAGGGUGCCGGGCUGCGGUGCGGCGGGACCCUGCGGUGCGAGCCUCAGGUACCUCUUCUCGCGGGAGGCCCCGCAGCCUCACUCUUCACCCUCCUCUCCACUGACGGUUUUCCCUGUGCUAUAGAGAGUGUAAAGAGGUGUGGCCUUACAUCGGAUGACUUCCUUCUCCCUUAAGACAUUAUUUAAACGUGUUUACUCAUCUAAGACAUUUGUUUUAUGUGAAGAGAUGUGUUUUGGUAGAGUUGUCUGAAGUCUUUUUUAGUAUGUUGUGUGUGUUUUUUUUCAUUUCAGAGUUGCAACAUUGAAUGCAGUGGGUAGAAAUUAGUAUUGUAUAGGUAGGUUCAGUGUUAUUUAAGCCCAAACCAAAAUGUGUUUUGUUUUUUGUGUGUUAGAAUUAUGUCUGUAACUUCAUUAAAACAUAAAAAUAUAUCAUAUCAUUGUAUCAUUAAUUUAGAAGAGUUGGGACAACACUAAAGUCUUUAAAUUAUAUUCUUGAGACCCAAAUGAUAUAAAUUACAAGUACAGUUUAUUUAUAAGCUCCAGAAAGCAACAACUUUAUCUUCUAAAUGUCUACAUCUCCCCACACUAUUUAGAAAAAAUAAUCUAUGGUGCCACAUGUACGGCAUUAAAGAGAGGGAAAUUGUUGUUUUCUUUUUAAAAUAAAACCUCUUGAAAUUAA